rnacentral:rRNA from 1 species
GUUAAUGGGUGAUGGCGUGCCUUUUGUAGAAUGAACCGGCGAGUUACGAUUUGAUGCAAGGUUAAGCAGUAAAUGUGGAGCCGUAGCGAAAGCGAGUCUGAAUAGGGCGUUUAGUAUUUGGUCGUAGACCCGAAACCAGGUGAUCUACCCUUGGUCAGGUUGAAGUUCAGGUAACACUGAAUGGAGGACCGAACCGACUUACGUUGAAAAGUGAGCGGAUGAACUGAGGGUAGCGGAGAAAUUCCAAUCGAACCUGGAGAUAGCUGGUUCUCUCCGAAAUAGCUUUAGGGCUAGCCUCAAGUGAUGAUUAUUGGAGGUAGAGCACUGUUUGGACGAGGGGCCCCUCUCGGGUUACCGAAUUCAGACAAACUCCGAAUGCCAAUUAAUUUAACUUGGGAGUCAGAACAUGGGUGAUAAGGUCCGUGUUCGAAAGGGAAACAGCCCAGACCACCAGCUAAGGUCCCAAAAUAUAUGUUAAGUGGAAAAGGAUGUGGCGUUGCCCAGACAACUAGGAUGUUGGCUUAGAAGCAGCCAUCAUUUAAAGAGUGCGUAAUAGCUCACUAGUCGAGUGACACUGCGCCGAAAAUGUACCGGGGCUAAACAUAUUACCGAAGCUGUGGAUUGUCCUUUGGACAAUGGUAGGAGAGCGUUCUAAGGGCGUUGAAGCAUGAUCGUAAGGACAUGUGGAGCGCUUAGAAGUGAGAAUGCCGGUGUGAGUAGCGAAAGACGGGUGAGAAUCCCGUCCACCGAUUGACUAAGGUUUCCAGAGGAAGGCUCGUCCGCUCUGGGUUAGUCGGGUCCUAAGCUGAGGCCGACAGGCGUAGGCGAUGGAUAACAGGUUGAUAUUCCUGUACCACCUAUAAUCGUUUUAAUCGAUGGGGGG